CGUGCCUAACACAUGCAAGUCGAGCGGAUGAGGGGAGCUUGCUCCCUGAUUUAGCGGCGGACGGGUGAGUAAUGCGUAGGAAGCUGCCCGAUAGAGGGGGAUACCAGUUGGAAACGACUGUUAAUACCGCAUAAUGUCUAUGGACCAAAGUGUGGGACCUUCGGGCCACAUGCUAUCGGAUGCGCCUACGUGGGAUUAGCUAGUUGGUGAGGUAAUGGCUCACCAAGGCGACGAUCUCUAGCUGGUUUGAGAGGAUGAUCAGCCACACUGGAACUGAGACACGGUCCAGACUCCUACGGGAGGCAGCAGUGGGGAAUAUUGGACAAUGGGCGCAAGCCUGAUCCAGCCAUGCCGCGUGUGUGAAGAAGGCCUUCGGGUUGUAAAGCACUUUCAGCGAGGAGGAAGGGUGGUGUGUUAAUAGCACAUCAUUUUGACGUUACUCGCAGAAUAAGCACCGGCUAACUCUGUGCCAGCCGCCGCAGUAAUAC
rnacentral:rRNA from 1 species